CCUGAGUCCCUCCUUCACUGCUUCAUCAUUAUUCUUUUUUGACGGAUGUGGAUCGGACGGGUUUUAUUCGCAACAGACGAUCCCUCUGGACUGGACCAUUUGAAGGACUGCUUGCAGGACAUAAAAGAGUGGAUGUCAAAAUUUCCUGCAGCUCAAUGACAGAGUGAAAUUCUUCCGUUCGGGAACUCCAACCCCCCAACUCUGCACAAUAGCCAAGAUCAAGUCCGUCCUCUCCCCCAGUGACUUAGAGGGUCGUGUUCAUGCUCAUCUUCUGCAGACUGGACUAAUGGAAUGCCCUCUAUGCUGGGGUCACUGACAAGACCAUAUAUAGCAUGCAGUUGCUACAAAAUGCUGGUGACAGGCACAAAAAUGAGGGAACACAUUUCUCCCAUCCUCUCCUCCCUUCACUGGCUCCUGGUGAAGCACAGAGUGAAAUUUAAGAUCCUUACGUAUGUCUUCAAAGCGCUCCGUGGUCUUACAUCAAACAUCUCCUGGGGUCAACCUAUCAGCUCCAGGCUUGGUCGUUGCCUCAGAUCUGACAACCAGAUGACCUUGAAGGUCCCACAGUCAAACCUAGUGACAAAGAGAGACUGUGCAUUGUCAAUGAUGGUACCUGGCCUAUGGAAUAAGCUCCCCCUGAAAGUCAAGUCCGCCACCACUCUGGACACUUUUAGAGCACAGCUUAAAACUCACCUCUUUGCCGCAAAUGACUUGAUUUGUGUUCGUGUGUCUUAAAUGUUUGUUCUAAAUUCCUUUUGUGUCCCUGUUUUUUUUUUUUUGUUUCUCCACUCAGGCUGCACCCCAGGCUGAUGUAAUGGUUGCUUGUGUGGGUGCAAUAAUUGAAAAUAACUACACUUUUUUUGUUUCUUCAAGGUCAAUUUUGUGGAGUCUGGUCUACAAUACAAAGUCUAUGUAUAUUUUCUUUUUUUUUAAUCUUUUUUUUUUAUCUUCAAGGUCAAUUUUGGGGGUCUAGUCAUCUACAAUACAACGUCAAAAUGUAUUUCAUUUGUCAUGGUUUUUGUUAUCUACAAGGUCAAUUUUAAGGAGUCUGUUCAUCUACAGUGCAAGGUCAAUUUGUAUUUUAUUUGUCAUGGUUUUUAACUACAAGGUCAGUAUGUAUUCAACUUGUGUCCUCAUGGUUUUUGUUAACUACAAGGUCAAUUUUGGGGGGGAAGGGGAGUCGGACGAAUAAAAUACAUAUCGACCUUGUAUUGUAGAUGACCAGACUCCCCUUCCCCCCCACAAAUUGACCUUGUAGUUAACAAAAACCAUCAGGACACAAAUAAAAUACACAUUUACCUUGUAUUGUAGAUGACCAAAGUUUGUUAACUACAAGGUCAAUUUGUGGGGGUUUUUUUUUGUCAUUGUUUUUGUUUCCUCAUGGUUUUUGAUAUCUACAAUACAAGGUAAAUGUUUUUUUUUUUCUAAUGUUUUUUAUCUUCAAGGUCAAUUUUGUGGGGACUAGUCAUCUAUAAUACAGGGUCAGUAUGUAUUUGUGUCAUGGUUUUUAACUACAAGGUCAGUAUGUAUUUAACCUGUGUCACUGUUUUUGUUUCCUCAUGGUUUGUGAUAUCUACAAUACAAGGUCAAUAUGUAUUUCAUUUGUCAAGGUUUUUGUUAUCUACAAGGUAAAUUUUAAGGAGUGUGGGUAUCAAAAAUACAAGGUAAAUUUGUAUUUUAACUACAAGGUCAGUCUGUAUAUUGUGUCAUUGUUUUUGUUUCCUCAUGUUUUUUUGUAUCUACAAUACAAGGUCAAUGUAUAUUUUAUUUGUGUCAUGGUUUCUAUUAACAAGGUCUAUUUUGGGGGGUGUCUCAUCUCUAAUACAAGGUCAAUAUGUCUUUUUUUUUUGUCAUGGUUUUUAACUACAAAGUCAAUAUUUAAUUUGCCAUGUUUUUUGUUAUCUACAAGGUCAAUUUUAAAGAAUCUGGUCAUCUACAAUACAAGGUAAAUUUGUAUUUUAUUUGUCAUGGUUUUUGUUACAAGGUUGGUAUGUAUUUUGGGCUUUUUUUGUUUUGUUUCCUCGUGGUUUUUGAUAUCUACAAUCCAAGGUUAAUAUCUAUUAGGUCAAGUUUAAGAUGUCAGGUCAUCUAUAAUACAAGGUAAAUUUUGUAUUUAAUUAGUGUCCAUGGAUUUUGUUGUCUACAAGGUCAAUUUUAAGGAGUCUUGUCUUCUACAAUACAAGGUAAAUUUGUAUUUUAUUUGUCCUCAUGGUUUUUGUUACUACAAGGUCGGUAUGUAUUUUGGGCCUUUUUUUGUUUCCUCAUGGUUUUUGAUAUCUACAAUACAAGGUUAAUAUGUAUUUCAUUUGUCAUGGUUUUUGUUAUCAGGUCAUUUUUAAGAAGUCUGGUAAUCUACAAUACAAGGUAAAUAUUUUAUUUGUCAUGGUUUUUGUUAACUACAAGGUCAAUUUGCGGGGUUUUGGUCUUAUACAAUAAAAGGUCAGUAUGUAUUUAGUUUGUGUUUUUUGUUUCCUCAUGUUUUUGAUAUCUACAAUUCGUUUAUUUUGUGUCAUCAUGGUUUCUAUUAACUACAAGGUCAAUUUUGGGUUCUGGUCAUUUUCAAUCCAAGUUCGAUUUGUAUUUAAUUUGUGUCCUUUUCGUCCUCAAGGUCACUUUUGCGGGUCUGGUCAUCUACAAUACAAGGUCAAUAUGUAUUUCAUUUGUCAUGGUUUCUAUUAAUUACAUGUUUGGGGGGCUCUGGUCAUGUACAAUGCAAGGUAAAUUUGUAUUUAAUUAGUGUUCAUGGAUUUAGUUGUCUACAAGGUCAAUUUUAAGGAGUCUUGUCUUCUACAAUACAAGUUAAAUUUGUAUUUUAUUUGUCAUGGUUUUUGUUAUUACAAGGUCGGUAUGUAUUUGGGCCUUUUUUUUUUUUCCUCAUGGUUUUUGAUAUCUACAAUACAAGGUUAAUAUGUAUUUCAUUUGUCAUGGUUUUUGUUAUCUACAAGGUCAAUUUGAAGGAGUCUGUUCAUCUACAAUACAAGGUAAAUUUGUAUUUUAUUUGUGUCAUGGUUUUUAACUACAAGGUCAGUAUGUAUUUAACUUGUGUCACUGUUUUUGUUUCCUCAUGGUUUUUGAUAUCUACAAUCCAAGGUUAAUAUGUAUUUCAUUUGUCAUGGUUUUUAUUAACAAGGUCAAUUUUGGGGGGUGGGGGAUCAUCUAUAAUACAAGGUCAAUAUGUAUUUUUUUUUGUCAUGGUUUUUAACUACAAAGUCAAUAUGUAAUUUGUCAUGUUUUUUGUUAUCUACAAGGUCAAUUUUAAAGAAUCUGGUCACCUACAAUACAAGGUAAAUUUAUUUUAUUUGUGUCAUGGUUUUUAACUACAUGGUCAGUAUGUAUUUAACCUGUGUCACUGUGUUUCCUCAUGGUUUGUGAUAUCUACAAUACAAGGUCAAUAUGUAUUUAAUUUGUCAUGAUUUUUGUUAUCUACAAGGUAAAUUUUAAGGAGUGUGGGCAUCAAAAAUACAAGGUAAAUUUGUAUUUUAACUACACGGUCAGUACGUAUAUUGUCAUUGUUUUUGUUUCCUCAUGGUUUUUGAUAUCCUCUAAUACAAGGUCAAUGUAUAUUUUAUUUGUGUCAUGGUUUCUAUUAACAAGGUCAAUUUUGGGGGGUGUCUGAUCAUCUAUAAUACGAGGUCAAUAUGUAUUUUUUUUUGUCAUGGUUUUUAACUACAAAGUCAAUAUGUAAUUUGUCAUGUUUUUUGUUAUCUACAAGGUCAAUUUUAAAGAGUCUGGUAAUCUACAAUACAAGGUCAAUUUGUAUUUUAUUUGUCAUGGUUUUUGUUACUACAAGGUUGGUAUGUAUUUCGGGACUUUUUUUUUUUAGGGUUAGGGUUUGGCCUUUGUUUUAAUGUUUUUGAUAUCUACAAUAAGUUUAUGUAUUUUGUCGUCAUGGUUUCUAUUAACUACAAGGUCAAUUUUGGGGCUCUGGUCAUCUACAAUCCAAGUUCGAUUUGUAUUUAAUUUGUGUCCUUUUUAUCUUCAAGGUCACUUUUGCACGUAUGGUCAUCUACAAUACAAGGUCACUAUGUAUUUCAUUUGUCAUGGUUUCUAUUAAUUACAAGGUCAAUUUUGGGGGGCUCUGGUUAUCUACAAUACAAAGUAAAUAUGUAUUUUUUGCCAUGGUAUUUAUCUACAAGGUCAAUUUUGGGGGUCUGGUUAUCUAAUACAAGGUCAAUAUGAAUUUUAUUUGUGUCUCGUGGUUUUUAUCUACAAGGUCAAUUUUGGGGGUCUGGUCAUCUACAAUACAAGGUCAAUAUGUAAUUCCUUUGUCAUGGUUUUUGUUAUCUACAAGGUCAAUUUUAAGGAGUCUGGUCUUCUACAAUACAAGGUCAGUAUGUAUUUAAUUUGUGUCCUCAUGGUUUUUGUUUUCUACAAGGUCAAUUUUAGGGGUCUUGUCAUCGACAAUACAUGUUAAAUAUGUAUUUUAAUUUGUGUCAUCAUGGUUUUUGAUAUCUACAAGGUCAAUUUUGGAGUCUGGUUAUCUACAAUACAAACUCAAUAUGUAUAUAAUUUGUGUCCUCAUGGUGUUUUGUUUCCUCAGUUUUUGAUAUCUACAAGGUCAAAAUUGGUUUAUUCCACUAUGCAAUGCAACACUCUUACCUAAUGUUAUCCAUUUAUUCAUUCAUGUGACUAAUUUCUCAUUCUUACACCCUGCAGCGCUACAACAGUACACAAGUCUUACACAAUGUGUUAUGGGUCACGUUCCUGCUUCUCCUCCUGCUGUGCGGACUGAGUGCAUGGCGGAGCACAUCAACAGGUGUUCCCUCUCCGCUGCGGGUGUGCCUCUGCAAGAGAUCUGCAAUCAACACACCUGCCGGUGAUGAGCAACCAGCCUUCAUAAGCCAGCGCGUCUUGAGAUCCGGUGCCAGAACGUAGUUUCUCCUACCAGUACACUUCCUCUUCGUCUACCUGGACCCCCUUUUGGAUUCCUUCUUGCCUUCCUGGACCAAGACCUCGCUCCUGCCUUCUGACGUCCAAGCCUUUUUCUUCUUUUGGACUUCCACCUCUAUCUCAACACGCACACUCAACACCCUCUGGUGACCACGCUCGGAUAAUACUUACACAUAGUCACACUCCAUCUCUUUAAGGUAAUCACACACUGC